AUCUCACCAUAAAAAAAUACCAUUGGCUUUUGCUGGUUUCCUCACCCAAAACCACCAGCAGGAAGCCUUUAGCCUCAGGUUUUUUCCUAAACUUUUGGCAUUCUCACCUAUAUAACCAAACCCCAUCCUCCCAUCGGAUUCAUCAAAGCAUAGCUCGUGUUUUCUUACUCUCCACAAAUCCCACUACAAACUUGUUGGUUCUAUAUUACAGUAACAUAAAAAAUGAGUUCAGCGAGUAAAGCUUGGUUGGUUGCCGCUGCUAUCGGAGGUGUUGAGGCGUUGAAAGAUCAAGGGUUCUGUAGGUGGAACUACACCUUGAGAUCCCUACACCACCAUGCCAAGAACCAUGUCAGAUCAGCCUCUCAGGCCAAGAAGCUUUCUUCUUCAUCCUCAGCCAUGAUCUCAAAUAUAGUCAAGGAAGAGAAGGCAAAACAGUCAGAGGAGUCUUUAAGAAAAGUCAUGUACUUGAGUUGUUGGGGUCCAAACUAAAGUAAUGAAUCUAGGAGAUGAAAUCGAGGGACUUAGUUUAUAGGAGUAAAUCGUAGCAAGCUUAUGCAAAUUGUAAAUUUUGAUGCUCAUUUGAUGAAAUCGAACAUUAUCGCAUGUUUCUACCAUUUCUUUUGGUAACGCGCAGUGCAUUUCCCUAGUGAGUAAAUUUAACAAAGCUCUUUUCUAGUUUUCAAGUGGAAUAAACAGGCAAUUAAUUUCAAUAUGAGAUAUGAAAUUCAACUCGAGGCUAAAAUCUCUUUCUCCCCACAUCCUCAAAUGGAUAAAAAGGCUACAUGAAAAACGAAAACCUCAAAUUGGAUUUGACCCCAAAGAAAAUCCAUUUUGCUGUAAAAUUCUCAGUCACUGAUCUCAACAGGAGUGAUCGUUGUGUGAAAAAUGGAACAUAAGCUUGUACUAUCAGAUAAAUUUAUUAAUAAGUAAGAUUGGAUUAGCUUCAAUAAGGAAUUAUAAUUACGAAAGCUAAAUCUUUUAAAUUUUAGAGCAAUUAGAAAUCAAAGAGUUACAUGGUUAUUAAUUUAAAAAUUCAUAAAAUUAAUUAAAAAAUAUAUGAAUUGAUUAGAACACCUAUAUUAAUUAAAAAAAAUAAUAGGAAUGAUGCUGAUUCAAAAUUAAUGUUCAUUCUUAAAUCACUCUUACAAGCUCACUAGAAUCUCUCUAUGUUAAACCCAAAUGAAAACAAAAAACUAAAAAUAUGAGCGUUUAUUUUCAGAAAAACAAAUGGUCGUGAGACCAACACAAUUUUUGCCUAAAUUUCUUUUCAAGCGCUAAUAGUUAGCAUUAGUGGAAAGCUACCUCCAAGAAUAUGGCAUGUGGCAUUCCUCGACUCUAAUUUGGCCUUUGUUGGAUUUUUUUGUUUAACAAAACGGUGUGCUCGUGAGAAGAUAGAGACAAAGUUGAUUUGUCGCAUGUCAUGCACAAAUUAAAAAAUCCACUAACGCAUCAUGUCAUAAAAAAUACCGUUGGCCUUUGCUGGUUUCCUCCCUCGAAACCACCACCAAGAAGCCUUUAGCCUAUGGUUUUUCUCCUACACUUUUGGUACACUCACCUAUAUAACCAAACCCCUUUACUCCCCUUUACUUCAUCAAAUCAUAGCUCCUGAUAUCUUAAUCUCUACAAAUCCCACUUCAAAGAGUUUCCAACUCGUUGGUUCUAUAUUACAGUAACACAGAAAAUGAGUUCAGCAAGCAAAGCUUGGUUGGUUGCAGCAGCUGUUGGAGGUGUUGAGGCCUUGAAAGACCAAGGGUUCUGCAGGUGGAACUACACCUUGAGAUCCCUCCACCAACAUGCCAAGAACCAUGUCAGAUCAGCCUCUCAGGCCAAGAAGCUUUCUUCUUCAUCCUCUGCCAUGAUCUCGAAUAAAAUCAAGGAAGUGAGAGCAAAACAGUCUGAGGAAUCUCUAAGAAAAGUCAUGUAUUUGAGCUGUUGGGGCCCUUACUAAGCAAAGAAGCAAGAACAGAGAUUGAGGAAAUUAUCGUGAUAGGAUUACCCUGAUUGUUGCAAGUCGAUGUAAAUAUUUGUAAAUUUUGUUGCUGACUUAAUGGAAUCAAACAAUAUUAUUCUUGGAUUAGUUUUUCCUUGCACCUUUUAUGUUUUCCCACUUCUUUUGGUAGCACCUCAUGUCACAGGUGAAAACUAAAGGGAUCAUGACAAGGUUCAAUUUUAGUGCAUCACAGCAUUUGCUAAGGAUAUUUAAAUUAAUUGCAACCCCAAGCUAAAUAUCUAAUUUGGUUUAAAAAGUAUUUUAAAAAAUCAGCAACUCAACUGGAGGAGGGGUUGUAUCGCAAAAGCUAAAUAUCUUGAUAGGUUGACAAAUUAGUGCAAAUCUUAAACUGGAAUUCUCAAUUUCAAUCUGGCCCAGAAGAAAAUUAGUUUAGGAGUAUUUCUUCACUCACAAGUGUUUUUUUUAAUAUUAUAUUUUAUAAUUUUUUAGUUGAAUAUUGAAUUCUUUAAUAGUUAAGUUUCAUAUUUUUAUUUAGUUUUUUUUUUUACUUUUUUAAUUAUUUUUUGCCAUGAAUAAUCUUUUGAAUAAAUAUAAAAUUUAUUUCUAGCAACAAAAUUACUAGAUAUAAUUGAGUAAUAACGCAUAAUUAAAUAUUUUAAUCUUAUUAAAUAUUUUAAUCAAAUAUUAAUUCAUUCAAUUAAAUACAUGCAUAAAUAUUGUAAUAUAUAAUUGAGAAUUUUUUAUAUUAACAACCUCAUGAAAAACUUAAUUAUUAUUUUUUUUUUUUACUAAAAAGGAUAUAUAAUCCUCUACGAAGUGCUGUUGAAAUAGUUUACAUACAGUCCUCAUUGUGCAUGGUGAAUAUUUUGCAGGAGAUUCCCGGAUCAUUAAACAACUUCAUCAUUUAAAUGAUGAAUGCAGAGAGGUAUUUAUGGUGCAGCUUGGAUUCAGUUCAAAGAGAUCCAAUAUAUGUUUCCUUGCUUCGUCCAGAUGAAGGUUACGUUUGUGUGAUUGUGGAUGGCAGCUCUCAUGGGCAAUCCAGGCGUGUCUGGAUUUGGGGAACUGGUUUGAAACAAUGACAGUCACCGGAUGGCGGGUUUCUUGGGUUUUUGUGGUUUUGGAUUGAAUCUUCUUCCGGAACUUCUGGCAAUUAAACAUGGCUUAGCUGAAGCAUAGGAUAGAGGCCAUAGGAGGAUCAUUAUCGAUUCUCAAGAGGCAAUCAAGCUUACAAAAGAGAAGAAUUCUAAAUUUCAUAAAUUGGAUGCGGUUAUAUGUAGAUGUCAAGUUUUUUUGGCUAAGCAUGAUGUAAAGAAUCAUGAUUUGUUCCAGGUGUGGGACAUUCCUUCUCCGGGGCUACACUCUCUCCUUAUGACCGAUUCGUUGGUUCGUUGGGUUUCAAUUUUAGAAGAGUUUUUUAGUUUGUGUCAUUUAAUUUUCACUGCAUCAAAAAAAAAAAAAAUUCCUAACUAUUACUUCAACUUUCUUGCUUAUUAGCAAUCAUACAACAACAGCAGCAACAAGUAACAGCAUCACUUGUCUUUCAUCCUUUUACAGUUCCAUAACACCAAAACAGCUUUGUGAAUACAUGUUUAACCGUAAAAUAAAAUACGAAAAAAGAUGAAUUUUAAGAGAGAGAGAGAGAGGCUCUCAACUUUAUUUUAUAUUAAAGAAAACGAAAAGGAGAAGCAUGCAUUUUGACAUUUGUUUAUCCUCAGUCCCACACUUUCUUUCAGUCCUUACAAGUGGCAAAAAUGAGAAGUGCCACCAAAUUGUGACAUGCAUGACUCACCACCCUUCAGCUAUGCUCCUCCUUAUACGGUGGCUAGGAUUUAUUUAUUUUACGAAGCAAAACCAUGUGCUCAUUUCAAGGCAGGCAGAGAAGCUUUUGGCUUGUUGUGGAGUAAAGGGCAAAAAAAUCUAGCCAUCCCAAGAACCCGAUUUUGUCCCCACUUUCUUAUUGUCACCAUGUGGUAGUUGAAUGUUAAUACAGCCAUCUCACCAUAAAAAAUUACCAUCGGCUUUUGCUGGUUUCCUCACCCAAAACAACCAGCAGGAAGCCUUUAGCCUCAGGUUUUUUCCUCAACUUUUGGCAUUCUCACCUAUAUAACCAAACCCCAUCCUCCCAUCGGAUUCAUCAAAGCAUAGCUCGAGCUUUCUUACUCUCUACAAAUCCUACUACAAACUUGUUGGUUCUAUAUUACAGUAACAUAAAAAAUGAGUUCAGCGAGUAAAGCUUGGUUGGUUGCCGCUGCUAUCGGAGGUGUUGAGGCGUUGAAAGAUCAAGGGUUCUGUAGGUGGAACUACACAUUGAGAUCCCUCCACCACCAUGCCAAGAACCAUGUCAGAUCAGUCUCUCAGGCCAAGAAGCUUUCUUCUUCGUCCUCAGCCAUGAUCUCAAAUAUAGUCAAGGAAGAGAAGGCAAAACAGUCAGAGGAGUCUUUAAGAAAAGUCAUGUACUUGAGUUGUUGGGGUCCAAACUGAAGCUAUGAAUCUAGUAGAUGAAAUCGAGGGACUUAGUUUAUAGUUUAUAGGAGUAAAUCCUUGCAAGCUUAUGCAAAUUGUAAAUUUUGAUGCACAUUUUCUGAAAUCGAACAUUAUCACAUGUUUUUAUCAUUUCUUUUGGUAGCGCGAGUGCAUUUCCCUAGUGAGUAAAUUUAACAAAGCUCUUUUCUAGUUUUCUAGUGGAAUAAACAGGCAAUUAAUUUCAUUUAAUUUCAAUAUGAGAUAUGAAAUUCAACUGGAGGUUAAAAUCUCUUUCUCCCCACAUCCUCAGAUGGAUAAAAAGGCUAUCUCAAAUUGGAUUUGACCCCAAAGAAAAUCCAUUUUGUUGUAAAAUUCUCAGUCACUAAUCACAACAGGAGUGAUCAUUGUGUGAAAAAUGGAAGAGGACCUUGUACCAUCACAUAAAUUUAUUAAUAAGUAAGAUUGGAUCGAAUUCUUUUGAUAUUUAAAAAUACAGAAUUAUGUCUUUUUCUAUGUCAAAGUGUGCAGUUCAAGAAACUAGGAACGAUGCUGAUUCAAAAUUAAUGUUCAUUCUUAGAUCACUCUUACAAGCUCACUAGAAUCUCUCUCUGUUAAACCCAAAUGAAAAGAAAAAACUAAAAAUAUGAGCGUUUAUUUUCAGAAAUACAAAUGGUCUUGACCAAUACAAUUUUUGCCUAAAUUUCUAUUCAAGCGCUAAUAGUUAACAUUAAUGGAAAGCGACCUGCAUAUGACCUUCUUGCAGAAAGAAAACAACUGAACUUUUAACUUCCAUGCAUCAUAGCCAUUAAACCUGGCAUAGAUUAGAUUAGCAAAGCUGAGUCUGAAAACAAAUCCUCACAGAAAUCUGAAAACAUAAAACUAAAGUUAUUGUUUUAAUUAUUUUUCUAAUUAAUUUUAAAUUAUAAUUAUUUAUUUUCUAUUUAAUUUAUGCUAGAUGGAUUAUAUUAAUUAGAAUUUUUUUUAACUAUAAAUCCUUUUUUAUAACAAAUUUUAGAAUUAAUAUAAAUAGAAAUAUGUAGUUUAUUUUUAUAGAGAUAAAAACUAUUAUUUAUAUUUAAUAAAAAUAUAUAAAAAAUUAAAAUUUCUGAAAAGUUUAAUCUACAAUUUUAGAACUUGAAGUCUAGUUUUAUUUUGGCUAUAGUCUGUGUCAUGACUUAAACUGUCUAGUUUUUUACUGAACUGUAUUAAAUAUUAAUUUAGUAAAAUUCGAAUUGGAUUGGCUUGCGAGUUAAUCUAAUGAUCGAUUAAGUGGCCGUUUGGAUUUGCUGCAGCGGUUGCGGUUGAAAUGAAAAUAUGCAAUAUAGUGUUUGGUUAACACCAACCAUGUUUUUUAUUGAUGUGGGUCCCAGUCCAAAACUAAGGCUGGACUUCAGUUUUUGAAAAGCAAUUACCAAUUGCUUUUCAUGCGUUUUGCCCUCUCUUUCAUCGCCGACACUUUCCUCUUGUUUUCCCAACGAUCCCAACUCCUGUCCUUGAUUUUUAUGUUUCAACUCUCACAGCCUAUCCAUUUCCAAACCUCAGCAGCUUAGGAAAGAGAAAAGCUCACAAUCUGUUUUUUUUGAAAAGGUUUAUUCUACCCAUAUAACUUAUAAUUUUUUAUCGCCUUGUUAUUAAUAUGGGGUUUAAUUUUUAUUUUAUUCUACGACUGUCUAUUUUUAAAAAAAUUAUUUAAUCUAUCUUUUUUAAAUAGCAAUUAUUCUUAUAUAUAUUUUUAGUUUUAUAAUGUACCAAAGAAGUUAUUGUAAUUUAUCUUUAUUUUUUUUCUUUUAUAUUUGAUUAAAAAAAUAACCUCUAAGAUAAAAAAAAAAACAAAAAAAAACAUAUGAAUUAAAAAAAAAGUUAGGUCAAAUAUUUUAAUGCUUAUUGUAUUUUGUUUUUAUGAAAGAUAUUAAUUUUUUUAUUUUAAUAUUUAAUUACCAUUAACAAAUUUUUCUCAACUUAUCACUUCUUAGAUUUUUAUAUUUAUUUUAUUAAAUUUAAAUAAAAACUUAACAUUUUUCAAUUAAAAAAAUUCACAAUACAAUAAAAUGCAUUUACAAAAUUGGCGUUUAUUAAAAAAAUUCAUUUCUUUUGAAAAGUGCUUUUUGAAUCAUAAUUUUACCAAACACAAAACUGCUUUUUUUUUCUACCACAAUUUAAACCACAGUUUUUUAACCAAACACAAGAAACUGUUUUUUUUAAAACCACAACUCCAACCACAGUUUUAACCAAACACUAACUUUUUUUGAAAUCAAUCUCACAAAAAAUACUUUUUAUUAAACUAUUCUUUUCAAACCAUAAUUAUAAAAGCUACCACAAUACUAAACACAUUCAGUAAGGGAAAAAAAAAAAAAAACAAAAGAAAGAAAGCAUGCAGUUUCCUAGACGGUCCUGCUACCUUAAUUGAUACAGUUUCAUGCGUAUGAGCCUCCAAGAACAUGGCAUGUGGCAUUCCUCACCUCUAAUUUGGGCUUAGUUGGAUAUUUUUUUUAAGCAAAACGGUGUGCUCGCGGGAAGAUAGAGACAAGGUUGAUCUGUCGAUUGUUAUGAAUAAAUUAAAAAAUCUACACCCACCCCAUUUUAUCCCAACUUAUUUAAUGAAUCCAGUCGUCUACUAAGACAAUAGAUGCAUCAUGUCAUCAAAAAUACCGUUGGCCUUCGCUGGUUUCCUCACUCAAAACCACCACGAAGAAGCCUUGAGCCUCUGGUUUUUCUCCUACACUUUUGGUACACUCACCUAUGUAACCAAACCCCCUUACUCUCAUUUACUUCAUCAAAUCAUAGCUCCUGAUAUCUUAAUCUCUCCAAAUCCAACUUCAAAGAGUUUCCAACUCGUUGGUUCUAUAUUACAGUAACAGAGAAAAUGAGUUCAGCAAGCAAAGCGUGGUUGGUUGCAGCAGCUGUUGGAGGUGUUGAGGCGUUGAAAGAUCAAGGGUUCUGUAAAUGGAACUACACCUUAAGAUCGCUGCACCAACAUGCCAAGAACCAUGUCAGAUCAGCCUCUCAGGCCAAGAAGCUUUCUUCUUCAUCUUCUGCCAUGAUCUCGAAUAAAGUCAAGGAAGUGAAAGCAAAACAGUCUGAGGAAUCUCUAAAAAAAGUCAUGUAUUUGAUCAGCUGCUGGGGUCCUUACUAAAGCUAAGAAGCAAGAUGAAAUUGAGAAACUUAUCGUGAUAGGAUUACCCUGAUCGUUGCAAGUUGAUGUAAAUAUUUGUAAAUUUUGGUGCUGACUUAAUGGAAUCAAACUAUAUUAUUUUUUCAUUAAUUUUUCCUUGCACCAUUUAUUUUUUCUGUUUUCCC
rnacentral:lncRNA from 1 species